GACGAACGCUGGCGGCGUGCCUAAUACAUGCAAGUCGAGCGAAUCUUUGGGAGCUUGCUCCCGGAAGUUAGCGGCGGACGGGUGAGUAACGCGUGGGCAACCUGCCUCAUACAGGGGGAUAACAGUUAGAAAUGACUGCUAAUACCGCAUAAGCGCACAGUAUCGCAUGAUACGGUGCGAAAAAUCACAGUGGUAUGAGAUGGGCCCGCGUCUGAUUAGCUAGUUGGUAAGGUAAUGGCUUACCAAGGCGACGAUCAGUAGCCGGCUUGAGAGAGUGAACGGCCACAUUGGGACUGAGACACGGCCCAAACUCCUACGGAGGCUG
rnacentral:rRNA from 1 species